GUAACAGAGAGUUUGAUCAUGGCUCAGAUUGAAUGCUGGCGGGAUGCUUUACACAUGCAAGUCGAACGGCAGCACGGACUUCGGUCUGGUGGCGAGUGGCGAACGGGUGAGUAAUGUAUCGGAACGUGCCCAGUAGCGGGGAUAACUACGCGAAAGGGCAGAAGCACACGUGCAGCGCUGCCUCGGGGGAAAAGUAAAGGGACUGGGCCUCUUGGCCUAUUAGAGCGGCCGAUAUCGGAUUAGCUGUAGUUAUGGGGUAACGGCUCACCACAGGCGACGAUCCGUAGCUGGUUUGAGAGGACGACCAGCCACACUGGGACCGAGACACGGCCCAGACUCUACGGAGGCAGCAUGGGGAAUUUUUGGACAAUGGGGGAAACCCCAUCCGCGCCAUCCCGCGUGUGCGAAGGGAAGGCCUUCGGGGUUGUAAAGCGAAUUUUUGGCAGGAAAGAAACGGCACGGAUAAUACCCCGCGCAACUGACGGUACCUGCAGAAUAAUAUAACUGCAUAACCACGCCAGCAGCCGCGGUAAUACGUAGGGUGCAAGCGUUAAUCGGAAUUACUGGGCGUAAAGCGUGCGCAGGCGGUUCGGAAAGAAAGAUGUGAAAUCCUCAGAGCUUAACUUUGGAACUGCAUUUUGAACUACCGCAGCCAGAGUGUGUCAGAGAGCGUGAAUUCCGCGUGUAGCAGUGAAAUGCGUAGAUAUGCGGAGGAACACCGAUGGCGAAGGCAGCCUCUGGGAUAACACUGACGCUCAUGCAACGAAAGCGUGGGGAGCAAAACAGGAUUAGACAAUUCUGGUAGUCCACGCCCUAAACGAUGUCAACUAUUGUUGGGGCCUUCGGGCCUUGGUAGCGCAGCUAACGCGUGAAGUUGGACCGCCCGGGGAGUACGGUCGCAUGAUUAAAACUCAAAGGAAUUGACGGGGACCCGCACAAGCGGUGGAUGAUGAUUAAUUCGAGGCAAUCGCCAGAAAACCUUACCUACCUCUUGACAUGUCUGGAAUCCCGAAGAGAUUUGGAGUGCCCGCAAGAGAACCGGAACACAGGUGCUGCAUGGCUGUCGCUGGGCUGGUGUCGAGAUGUUGGGUUAAGUCCCGCAACGAGCGCAACCCUUGUCAUUAUUGCUACGAAAGGGCACCUGGGAUGAGACUGCCGGUGACAAACCCGGAGGAAGGUGGGGACAGACGUCAAGUCCUCAUGGCUCCUUAUGGGUAGGGCUUCACACGUCAUACAAUGGUCGGGACAGAGGGUCGCCAACCCGCGAGGGGGAGCCAAUCCCAGAAACCCGAUCGUAGGUCCGGAUCGCAGUCUGCACCCUGACUGGUGUAAGUCGAAUCAUGUUAGUAAUCGCGGAUCAGACGUUCGCGGUAAUACGUUCCAGUCUUGUACACACCGCCCGUCACACCAUGGGAGUGGGUUUUACCAGAAGUAGUUAGCCUAACCGUAAGGAGGGCGAUUACCAACAGGCAGGAUUCAUGACUGGGCAAGUCGUAACAAGGUAG
rnacentral:rRNA from 1 species